CCAGUAGUCAUAUGCUUGUCUCAAAGAUUAAGCCAUGCAUGUCUAAGUUCACACCCUUGUACGGUGAAACCGCCAAUGGCUCAUUAAAUCAGUCGAGGUUCCUUAAAUGAUCCAUUUCUACUUGGAUAACUGUGGUAAUUCUAGAGCUAAUACAUGCCCAACAGCUCCGACCCCAGGCUUCACGGCUCGGGGAAAGAGCGCUUUUAUUAGUUCAAAACCAGUCGGGGGUUUCGGCCCUCGUGCUUUGGUGACUCUGGAUAACUUUGAGCCGAUCGCAUGGCCUCGAGCCGGCGACGCAUCUUUCAAAUGUCUGCCCUAUCAAAUGACGACGGUACGUGAUCUGCCUACCGUGUUGACUACGGGUAGCGGGGAAUCAGGGUUCGAUUCCGGAGAGGGAGCAUGAGA
rnacentral:rRNA from 2 species